UAGAGUUUGAUCCUGGCUCAGAUUGAACGCUGGCGGCAGGCCUAACACAUGCAAGUCGAACGGUAACAGGAAACAGCUUGCUGUUUCGCUGACGAGUGGCGGACGGGUGAGUAAUGUCUGGGAAACUGCCUGAUGGAGGGGGAUAAGUAGCUGGAAACCGGUAGCUUAAUACCGGCAUAACGUCGCAAGACCAAAGAGGGGGACAUUCGGGCCUCUUGCCAUCAGAUGUGCCCAGAUGGGAUUAGCUAGUAGGUGGGGUAACGGCUCACUUAGGCGACGAUCCCUAGCUGGUCUGAGAGGAUGACCA
rnacentral:rRNA from 1 species